UCUGCAACCAUAAAUUCUGUUUCAUUUAUUUAUUUAAAUAUAUUUCCUUUUUCUUUAAGAAAGAUUCUAGAAGUGGAAUUUCUGGCCCACGGAUGCAAUUGUGAGGACAUUUAUGAAGCUCCUGUCCAACACCAGUCCAGAAGGCUGGUCCCCAGAAGGCUCCCUGAGCAAGAGGGGGUCUGCCGCACAGCUCCUGGCAGGCACCUGUGGCACUGAUCUGGCCUGGCAGGAUGCCCAGCUCCACAGUUCCCAGUGGCUCAGUGGAGAAAGAAGUCCAAGCCUGGUGGUGGAGGAGAGGAAUGAAUCCCAAAUAGAAGGAAAGGAGAUGCACCAGAGACACUACUCAUGAGAAAAUGUCUACCAGCCUUUUGGUAUUCUGUGCUAUUUCUUCCACUAUUUAAACAAAUUUAAACAAAUUUUAAAAUUGUAGAGCUAUAGACCAUCUUUGUUAAAAAAAAAAAAAACCUAGGAUAAGG
rnacentral:lncRNA from 1 species